rnacentral:sRNA from 1 species
CUUUCCAGCUAUACCUAGCUUCAUUAUGUUUUGCUUCCAUUUCUCUCCUAGGCCAUUUUUUCUUCUGGCACUUAAACAGUACUUGCAAGAGAUGUUUUUAGCUAAGUACCUAUAAUUAGUAUGUACCCAAAACCAAUUUAUGAAGCAGUCGCUAUUUCCACAAUGCAAUUGGGCAGCUGGAGUUUGAUGUUGAGGCAUUUUCUUGAGGCACCACCAUCUCAUGUUUGUCGAAAUGUCUGAACUGUACAUUGCAAUUGCCACUGUCAAUGCCGUGAAAGAUACUGGCUGAGGUGUUUGAGUAGGCGUUUUCUUUGGAUCCAUCUUGACUGAGCUGUGAAGCAACGAACUUGUCAAGCACUCGCCAAUCAGUUACUUGAUCCACUGCUUGAUCAUUGCAGUUGCUGUUGUCGUAGGUUGUCUGUAAGUUUAUUUGCUGACCAAUAACAUGUUCUUCUUGUAUGAGUAACGAGGGAAGCAGAGUGGUGGAGUGGUUGACAUGAUCUAGAAGAUAUGGUGCCAUGGGAUUAGGGGUUAUGGCUGAAGCAGAUUGAAGCAGUUUUGGGCUCUCCAGAAGUGGAAGGAAGUGGUCACGAGGCAUCUGGUAGGGCACAUCUAGCUCUUUCUUGCAAGGAUAGGGAAGCUGGUAGACCAGAUUAGAUUGAGAGGUCUGCUUCGGUGAGUCCAUGUCUUGAAUGAAAGAUACUUGCUCAUCAUACCAACUGGGAGAGUCGUGCUCAUUCACUUUACGCAUUGUUGUUACUCUCUUCUUGAAUACUCUACACACAACCCAACCUUCUUCCUGCUUCAUUCAUACAAAAAGGACAAAACAGUCGUUAGUUUACGAGAGGAUGUGUUGAGAAAAAUUACCAACAAGAAAGUUUCGGCUAGCUCAUUGUCAAAUCUAAAAGCGUUUCAUCAACAAAGGUGAAUUAUAUACUCAAAAUGCUACAUGCAUAUGCAUGCAUGCAUGGUGUUCUUUCCUUUUAUAUCGUUGGAUAAAUAAUUCCCAGUAACGUUUAACUAUCUCGUGAGAGCCUUAGAUUUUCAGUAAUUUAUUGUAACACGCUAUGACUAUAAAUUGAACUCAAUGUUGC